rnacentral:snoRNA from 1 species
UGCAGCCCCGUCAAAUUCAGUCCCUGCCUCCUCCGUGGCGGGGCUGGCCAGCCUGCCACAGCAACUUCUGUAGUCCAUGAGCCUCCUGUCCCCUCCUGUGGGACCCCCGGGGAUAGAAUCACCACCACAGACAUUG